rnacentral:miRNA from 1 species
UAUCUAGUUGGAUGUCAAGACAC